UACGAAGGGUGCUAGCGUUGUUCGGAAUCACUGGGCGUAAAGCGUGCGUAGGCGGCUUUUCAAGUCAGGGGUGAAAUCCUGGGGCUUAACCCCAGAAUUGCCUUUGAAACUGGAAAGCUAGAGUAUCGGAGGGGAUAGCGGAAUUCCUAAUGUAGAGGUGAAAUUCGUAGAUAUUAGGAGGAACACCGGUGGCGAAGGCGGCUAUCUGGACGAUUACUGACGCUCUGGCACGAAAGUGUGGGGAUCAAACAGG
rnacentral:rRNA from 1 species